rnacentral:rRNA from 1 species
UACGGAGGAGGCAAGCGUUAUCCGGAAUUAUUGGGCGUAAAGCGUCCGUAGGUGGCGAUUCAAGUCUGCGGUCAAAGACUGGGGCUUAACCCUGGAAAGGCCGUGGAAACUGAAUAGCUAGAGUGCAGUAGGGGUAGAGGGAAUUCCCGGUGUAGCGGUGAAAUGCGUAGAGCUCGGGAAGAACAUCGGUGGCGAAAGCGCUCUGCUGGACUGCAACUGACACUCAGGGACGAAAGCUAGGGGAGCGAAUGGG